rnacentral:snRNA from 1 species
AUCGCAUCUCGGCCUUUUGGCUAAGCUCAAGUGUAGUAUCUGUUCUUAUCAGUAUAGUUCUGGAACUAAUACAUCUGAAAUGGGUCACAGGGUGCCUGGAUGGCUCAGUCCCUUAAGCAUCUGACUCUUGGUUUUGACCCAACUCAUGAGCUCAUGGGUUUGCGAGGUCAAGCCCCACAUCAGGCUCCAUGCUGAUAGUGCAGAGCCUGUGCUUGGGAUUCUCU